rnacentral:pre_miRNA from 2 species
ACCAAAGCCCCUCGAGGACAAUGUGAGUCUUUCUAUUGACUUCAGUGGGCUUAGGAUC